GUACCCGCUGAACUUAAGCAUAUCAAUAAGCGGAGGAAAAGAAACCAACAGGGAUUGCCUCAGUAACGGCGAGUGAAGCGGCAACAGCUCAAAUUUGAAAUCUGGCCCCUUCGGGGUCCGAGUUGUAAUUUGUAGAGAGUGCUUCGGGUGAGACUGCGGUCUAAGUCCAUUGGAACAUGGCGUCAUAGAGGGUGAGAAUCCCGUAUGUGACCGUGGCUCGAGCCCAUGUGAAGCCUCUUCGACGAGUCGAGUUGUUUGGGAAUGCAGCUCAAAAUGGGUGGUAUAUUUCAUCUAAAGCUAAAUACUGGCUGGAGACCGAUAGCGCACAAGUAGAGUGAUCGAAAGAUGAAAAGCACUUUGGAAAGAGAGUCAAACAGUACGUGAAAUUGUUGAAAGGGAAGCGCUUGCAACCAGACCCGCCCGUAGGCGAUCAGCCGCUGUUCUCAGUGGUGCACUCGCUCUGCGAUCAGGCCAGCAUCGGUUCUGGCGGCCGGAUAAAGGCCUUGGGAAUGUAGCUCCCUCCGGGGAGUCUUAUAGCCCUCGGUGCAAUGCGGCCAGCCGGGACCGAGGACCGCGCUUCGGCUAGGAUGCUGGCGUAAUGGUUGUAAGCGACCCGUCUUAAACACGGACCAAGGAGUCUAACAUCUAUGCGAGUGUUUGGGUGUCAAACCCAUGCGCGGAAUGAAAGUGAACGGAGGUGAGACCCCUUAAGGGCGCAUCAUCGACCGAUCCAGAUGUCUUCGGAUGGAUUUGAGUAUGAGCAUAGCUAUUGGGACCCGAAAGAUGAUGAACUAUGCCUGAAUAGGGUGAAGCCAGAGGAAACUCUGGUGGAGGCUCGCAGCGGUUCUGACGUGCAAAUCGAUCGUCAAAUUUGGGUAUAGGGGCGAAAGACUAAUCGAAUCAUCUAGUAGCUGGUUCCUGCCGAAGUUUCCCUCAGGAUAGCAGUAACGUUUUCAGUUUUAUGAGGUAAAGCGAAUGAUUAGAGGCCUUGGGGUUGAAACAACAUUAACCUAUUCUCAAACUUUAAAUAUGUAAGAAGUCCUUGUUACUUAGUUGAACGUGGACAUUUGAAUGCACCGUUACUAGUGGGCCAUUUUUGGUAAGCAGAACUGGCGAUGCGGGAUGAACCGAACGCGAGGUUAAGGUGCCGGAAUGUACGCUCAUCAGACACCACAAAAGGUGUUGAUUCAUCUAGACAGCCGGACGGUGGCCAUGGAAGUCGGAAACCGCUAAGGAGUGUGUAGAUGUUGCAUACGACAGCCGAGUUUGCUAGCGGCGCCCCCUCAUACCGGGGGCGCCUGUGACAGCUCUAGAAUGCCUGAAUUCACCCCUUGGGGUGUAACUGGCAGUGGGGCGCCGCCCCCAUCCACAGACUAAACAGAGCUGACCCGGAAGUCCCAUCUCCGGGUUAAGAUAUAGUCGAUCCGGGCCCUGAGAGGGUGCCCGAGCGAGAGAACAACUCACCGGCCGAAUGAAUCAGCCCUGAAAAUGGAUGGCGCUCAAGCGUGCUACCCAUACCUCGCCGGCAGGGUAGAAACGAUGCCCUGGCGAGUAGGCAGGCGUGGGGGUCAGUGACGAAGCCUUGGGAGUGAUCCCGGGUCGAACGGCCCCUAGUGCAGAUCUUGGUGGUAGUA
rnacentral:rRNA from 1 species